rnacentral:rRNA from 1 species
GACGAACGCUGGCGGCGUGCUUAACACAUGCAAGUCGAACGGGAAGGCCCUGCUUUUGUGGGGUGCUCGAGUGGCGAACGGGUGAGUAACCCUUGAGUACCCUGUACCUGACUUUGGGGUAAGUUCAGGCAACUGGGGCUCAUACCGGCUAGGAUCUACUGCUUCAUGGUGGGGGUUGGUAAGUUUAGUUGGUUGGGGGUGGACUGGCGGCUUAUCGGCUUGGUGGUGGGGUAGUGGCUUACCAAGCCUUUGCCGGGUAGCAUGCCUGAGAGGGUGACCGGCCACAUUGGGCCUGGGCUACGGCCCAGACCCCUACGGGAGGCAGCGGUGGAGAAGGGUGCAUAAUGGGCGGGAGCCUGAUGCAGCAACGCCGCGUGCGGUAUGACGUCAUUCGGUUUGUAUUCCACUUUUGUCUUUCACGAGGCGUGAGUGACGGUAAUGGGUAAAGAAGCACCGGCUAACUACGUG